GAGCCGCAGCCCCGCGGCCGCCGGAGACGCGUUCCCGUUCCAAGGUGGCUCUGGUGCCCGGACGCUGCAGCUUCGGGAUGGUGAUUUCCGGCGUCCCGGGGUCUCUUCCCCGCUGGGCGGCAGCUCGGACCCUUCACACCCGCAUUCCCGAGCGGCGAUCACCACUGGAAGGAGAGAAAGGCUGCACAUAUGCCACUGGAAUUUCAGUCCUGCUUUCUUUCUUAAAACCUAGCUUCUGCACCGUUUACUUCGUGUCAGACAUGGGACAACCCGUAUCUGUUGGAAGUAUUCAGAGGUCUUGUGGAACUACAAAAGUUUAGGUGUUACCAUUAAAAUAGGGUAUGCGAAUAAUUUUUCAAGCUCAUUAUUAACUAACCAGGAAAGACAUCUGCAUAAUUUAAUGAAUCUUUUCCCUAAAAUCGAGAAUUCUAAAGUCAGUGUUUUAUUUUUGUUUUGUUUUGUUAUUAGGCAGAAAAUCUUGUCGGCAUUUGCUCCGAGACAUUGCCAUCUAUUAGCUAGUCCUUAGUAAUAACUUGGGUCAGGAAAUGGGGAGGAGGAUUAGAGCCAUCUACCCUGGUGUACAUAUACCUUGCUAUCAGUGGCAGCAGAAGUUCAAGUUGGGCAUCUGAGGCUUUUGAAAUCAACAAGGGUGAUUCUUUUUUUUUUUUUUUUUUUUUUUGAAGUGAAAGAAAAAGAAAAGAAAAACGUGAAAGAAACCUCAGUUUCACUAACUUAUUUAUUGUCACCUGCAGGUUCCUGAAGGAAUAGUAAAAUUAAAAAACAAAAACAAAACCAACAAACCUUGAGGCAAAUGUUUAAGAAUUCUACUGAAGUCUACUACUUUCUACUGAAGAAAGAAAACACUGCCACCUACUGGAAAAAUGUAGCCUGACACCAAGCUUUAACCUAAAAAAUGAUCUUGAUUUAGCUAAUUUUUUAGCUAUUUUUGAGAAAUACAAAGAUAAGCAUAACUGAGUUGCUAGUCCCCCUUGUUUGGUGGGUUCACAAUCCUUGUGAUUUCCCUUGCCUUUUGUCCUUUUUCUCUGAUAAUAAAGGGAGUAUAGAUAAAACCCAGUGAUGCUGCCUCAUUAUUCUAAGGAGUGAAGUCAAGACUGAAGGAAGGAAAGUAAUACUAACAGUUAAAUAUAUGUUUUUGUAUUAAAUGUGGAAUUUUCUCAUAUGAACCUUUAUCCAGCCUUUAUGGAUAAUGAUGCAGUGGCUUGGGACGCCUGGGUGGCUCAGUCAAGUGUCUGGCUUUGA